GCCAGUGAUAGGCAUCUUUUUACUGUAUGCGUGCACUCAUUGAGUAUUCUCCGACAAAGUCCAAACAAGUAAUUUGGCAAAACUCUGAGAGAUUUCUGCCAAAGGCAUAGACCUAUUCUGAAGUUAUGGCUUAUGGACUGUGACCACAUGCAAGAAAAUGACUUCACCCAGAUAAGUAUGCUUUUUUUUUAUAGCAGAAUUUUAAUAAAAUUUCAAUUGGUUAUUAAACCCCCAAAAUACCAGUUUUAAAGCUGUUCAACCUCAGGUAGUUUUUGAACCUCCCUUCUAGAUAAACUUCUCAGCAGGUGUGUGAUGGAUAAGCCAGUGCUUUAAAAAGUUCUGAUAAGCCAUUCUCAGUGUGUUUAAUACUAUAUAUGAUAAGCUUUUUGACAAUCACAGUAUAUGCCAAUCAUCUCAUUUAUAAUUUUUAAUGAAAUUCAAUCUGCCUGGAAAGGGGAAAAAGGCUAAUUUUUAUAUUACGCAGUUUGUUGAAUAAGAUCUGGUCCCUAACCUGUGCUACUUAAAACAGCACAAUAAAAAUGGGCACCAACUAUCUAGGAUAAAACAUUACUUAUGGGAAGUGUUAUAAAUGACAGUCUUAUGUAAUGUAAAUCCAAAAAGAAAGAUAAACCAGAAAUUUCAAAGCAAUCAAUACACAUUCUCGGCAUGGCAUAUUGACAUUUCAGCCUCUAAUACUUUUAUCGAGAAACAUGGACUGAAAGACCAACAUGCUUUGUCUGCAAUGUUUGUUUUAAAUUUAGCAGUGUUACAAUUUUAUGCACUGAAAUCCCAGUUUGUUUUUCUCUUUCUAUGUAGACAGUUGUGAGCAUCUUGCUUCCCAGAUCAAGUGUAUGUAAACCUUAUAAACAAUAUAUUUUAUGGUGAUUAUAUGUCUUAUCUAUGUAUCAUUAACGGUUAACUGUCUUCUUGUCUUUGAAUUUACAUACAAUGGAAGCACUCCUAGAGGGUAGCAAUCUUGGAUCCACAGCUUGUUUCUCAACAAAAAUACCAAUAACCAAACCUCACUACUUACUAUGAAGUGUAUUUUAUAUAAAAGUGUUUACAUGACAAGUGACCAUUCAAAAAGCAAUGUUUCAGCAACAGAACCCUUCCUCAAGGUGUGGAAAGCCAUCUGUUAAUAUAGCUUGUGUAUGCUCCGUCAUAAUAAUGUAUGCUGUAUUAUAUAUAUUGUUGAAUAUUCUGGGGGUCAUUCACUUGCACUUACUAAUUGCCAAACUCAAGCAAAAUUUGCUAAAAGUAUCACUAUAGCUUAGUUGAAGAUUGUUUCUAUAUUGGCUCUCCUUGUAGUUUUCAGAUCACUAUAAUUCGAUUGGCAAGAAAGUGAUCCUUGUGCAACUUUUUUAACAUUGAUAAACAAGUGACAGGGUAAACGAGAGCUUCGUGCAUAUGGCUGACUGUCAUGUUUCUGUAUAGGCAAAUUACUUUAUGUCAAGAUUUAUUUUGUUUUUGGGGUUUUUAAGCACCAGUUGAUAUGUAUUAUGUAUACCCAACACUUCUUUCAUACAAAAUCUAAUCUACAUAUCUUUUGAUAUUAUGCUCUCAAACUUUGCAGAUUCAUAUUGCCCUCACUUGAUUGUAUUAAGAGACAGUAUUUCUAGUUUUUCUUUUUCAAAACCUUGUGAAAUAACAUAUGUUGGGCAAUAGUCUGAUAUUUAAUAUUUCUCAAAAUGAUCACCAAGGUCUGUGAAUGCAGACUCUUUUGACCUCCAGCUUGCUUGGUAGGAACGUUUUAAUAUAAACGGUAGUAAUUGAUAAUCUGUUUAUUUGUACGUUGUACUGUAUUUGUGUUGUUUUCUAUCCUGUUUUUAAAUGUAUAAACCUAAGGACAUUUGUAAAUGUACUACAUAAAAUAAACUUUAACACAUUUA
rnacentral:lncRNA from 1 species